rnacentral:rRNA from 1 species
AGACUUUGAUCCUGGCUCAGAUUGAACGCUGGCGGAAUGCUUUACACAUGCAAGUCGAACGGCAGCACGGGAGCUUGCUCCUGGUGGCGAGUGGCGAACGGGUGAGUAAUGCGUCGGAACGUACCGAGUAAUGGGGGAUAACGCACCGAAAGGUGUGCUAAUACCGCAUACGCCCUGAGGGGGAAAGUGGGGGAUCGUAAGACCUCACGUUAUUCGAGCGGCCGACGUCUGAUUAGCUAGUUGGUGGGGUAAAGGCCUACCAAGGCGACGAUCAGUAGCGGGUCUGAGAGGAUGAUCCGCCACACUGGGACUGAGACACGGCCCAGACUCCUACGGGAGGCAGCAGUGGGGAAUUUUGGACAAUGGGGGCAACCCUGAUCCAGCCAUUCCGCGUGAGUGAAGAAGGCCUUCGGGUUGUAAAGCUCUUUCAGCUGGAACGAAACGGUGCGCUCUAACAUAGCGUGCUAAUGACGGUACCAGCAGAAGAAGCACCGGCUAACUACGUGCCAGCAGCCGCGGUAAUACGUAGGGUGCGAGCGUUAAUCGGAAUUACUGGGCGUAAAGCGUGCGCAGGCGGAUUGUUAAGCAAG